GUACGAUCGAUGUCUUAUAUGCAUUGAGGGUUUAUUUGAAAGAAAAGUAGAGCCCACAUAUACAUAAAUCUUCUACAUGACACAAACACAAUUGCUUAAGAAAUACAUACACAUAAUACACAGGAAAACACAAUGGAAAUGGAAGGCCUAAAACCAAAUACAGAAAGUAAAACAAACUUUAACUAACAUCAUAAUUAAGUUAACAACUAAGAAAGCCAAAUUAAGUGAGAGUGCCGCAGGAUCAUGAGGAUAAUAACCUUACAUAAUUAGUGAUUAAUUAUGACGAUCAUCACUUCUUCAAGAAUCCCUGAGCCACCUUAAGAUAAUCACCAAACCCACCUGAUCCACCCUCCUCCUCCUCCUCAUCCUUUUUACCAUGUUUCUUCUUAGUCUCAUGCUCUCCGCUCACCGGAUAGUUCUCAUCAUCGUCUCUUCUCUCCUUCCCCACACCAUGCUUAUGAGACUCGGAAGAGUAGUGGCCUCCUCCUCCAGAGUUAUGAGACUCAGAAGAGUAGUGGCUUCCUCCUCCGCCGCUUCCGCCGCCGCCGCUGCCGUACUUGUGAAGCAUAUCCUCAGCCCUUCUAACAUAACUCCCAAGUCCUUCUUUCUCGUCCAGCUUCCCAUAGUGCGCGGCAGCGCUUAGGAUGUUACUAGCAGCCUCCGAAACCCUAGCUCUGUCGAUCUUUUCCCCGCCGCCUUUGUUCAUCGAAGAUUUGGCUGCUUCCGCCACAAUCUUGGCACUAGACAUCAGCUCGCUCGUCGUCGGUGCAGCAUGUCCCGGCUUCCCGUAGUGGCCCUCCGGCUUCCCGUGGUGACCCUCAGCCGCGGAUUUUCUCUCGCCACCAUAUUGAUCUUCCUGGUCUUUGUCCCCAUAACCUCCGGACCGGUAGUGACCCUCAGUCGCGGAUUUUCUCUCGCCACCAUAUUCAUCAUCCUGGUAUUUGUCGCCGUAUCCUCCGGACCGGUGGUGACCCUCGGUCGCGGAUUUUCUCUCGCCACCAUAUUCAUCGUCCUGGUAUUUGUCCCCGUAUCCUCCGGACCGGUGAUGACCCUCGGUCGCGGAUUUUCUCUCGCCACCAUAUUCAUCCUCCUGGUAUUUGUCCCCGUAUCCUCCGGACCGGUGGUGACCCUCAGUCGCGGAUUUUCUCUCGCCACCAUAUUCAUCUUCCUGGUAUUUGUCCCCAUAUCCUCCGGACCGGUGGUGACCCUCGGUCACAGAUUUUCUCUCGCCGCCAUACUGAUCGUCCUGGUAUUUCUCCCUGUAACCUCCAGACCGGUGGUGACCCUCAGUCGCGGAUUUUCUCUCGCCACCAUAUUGAUCGUCUUGGUCUUUGUCCCCGUAACCUCCGGACCGGUGGUGACCCUCUGUCCCGGAUUUUCUCUGGCCAUCGUAUUGAUCAUCGUCGUCUUUGUCCCCGUAACCUAAGGAAGAGAAAGCUGAUGAAAGCCGAUCCAUCAGUGAGUGAAGAAAAGUAGAUCUACUGCUUUUGCUUUGUG
rnacentral:lncRNA from 1 species